CCCUACGGGGSGCAYCAGGCGCGAAAACUUUACAAUGCGGGAAACCGUGAUAGGGGAACUCCGAGUGCCCGUUAAAUCGGGCUGUCCAUCAGUUUAAAUAACUGGUGAAGAAAGGGCCGGGCAAGACCGGUGCCAGCCGCCGCGGUAAUACCGGCGGCUCGAGUGGUGGCCACUAUUACUGGGCUUAAAGCGUUCGUAGCUGGUUUGUUAAGUCUCUGGGGAAAUCUUCCGGCUUAACCGGAAGGCGUUUCAGGGAUACUGGCAGACUAGGGACCGGGAGAGGUGAGGGGUACUCCAGGGGUAGGAGUGAAAUCCUGUAAUCCUUGGGGGACCACCUGUGGCGAAGGCGCCUCACCAGAACGGCUCCGACAGUGAGGGACGAAAGCUGGGGGAGCAAACCGGAUUAGAUACCCGGGUAGUCCCAGCCGUAAACGAUGUGCGUUAGGUGUAUCGGUGACCACGAGUCACCGAGGUGCCGAAGAGAAAUCGUGAAACGUAC
rnacentral:rRNA from 1 species